UACAGAGGUCCCAAGCGUUGUUCGGAUUCACUGGGCGUAAAGGGUGCGUAGGUGGCGAGGUAAGUCGGAUGUGAAAGCUCGGAGCUCAACUCCGAAAUGGCAUUGGAAACUACCUUGCUCGAGGGUUGGAGGGGGGACUGGAAUUCUCGGUGUAGCAGUGAAAUGCGUAGAUAUCGUGAGGAACACCAGAGGCGAAGGCGGUUACCUGGACAGUUACUGACGCUCAGGCACGAAAGCAUGGGGAGCAAAAGGG
rnacentral:rRNA from 1 species